AGGACGGGUCGUGUGUCAGU
rnacentral:miRNA from 2 species